GACGAACGCUGGCGGCGUGCUUAACACAUGCAAGUCGAGCGGUAAGGCCCUUUCGGGGGUACACGAGCGGCGAACGGGUGAGUAACACGUGGGUGACCUGCCCUCAGCUCUGGGAUAAGCCUGGGAAACCGGGUCUAAUACCGGAUAUGACUCCAUGACGCAUGUUGUGGGGUGGAAAGCCUUGUGCGGCUGAGGAUGGGCCCGCGGCCUAUCAGCUUGUUGGUGGGGUGANGGCCUACCAAGGCGACGACGGGUAGCCGGCCUGAGAGGGCGACCGGCCACACUGGGACUGAGACACGGCCCAGACUCCUACGGGAGGCAGCAGUGGGGAAUCUUGCGCAAUGGGCGAAAGCCUGACGCAGCGACGCCGCGU
rnacentral:rRNA from 1 species